UCAGAACGAACGCUGGCGGCGCGUUUUAAGCAUGCAAGUCGAACGGUAAGCAUCCUUCGGGAUGCCUAGAGUGGCGAACGGGUGAGUAACACGUAGGUGAUCUGCCCUUGAGUUGGGGAUAGCCCAUGGAAAUGUGGGUAUACCGAAUACUGUUCUCCCUGAUACUGUGGUAACGGGAAGAAAAGCGCUUCGGCGCUGCUUGAGGAUGAGCCUGCGGCUGAUUAGUUAGUUGGUGGGGUAACGGCCUACCAAGGCGACGACUCAGUAGCCGGCCUGAGAGGGUGAGCGGCCACACUGGGACUGAGAUACGGCCCAGACUCCUACGGGAGGCAGCAGCUAAGAAUCUUCUACAAUGGACGAAAGUCUGAUAGAGCGACGCCGCGUGGGUGAUGAAGGCCGGAAGGUUGUAAAGCCCUUUUCUAUUCGAGGAAUAACCUCAGGAGGCAAUGCCUGAGGGAUGACGGUAGGGUAGGAAUAAGCCCCGGCCAAUUACGUGCCAGCAGCCGCGGUAACACGUAUGGGGCGAGCGUUGUUCGGAAUCAUUGGGCGUAAAGGGCGCGUAGGCGGAUAUGCAAGCUUGGUGUGAAAGACCGCAGCUCAACUGCGGGAGCGCGCUGAGAACUGCGUAUCUAGAGUUCAAGAGGGGAAGCUGGAAUUCCAGGUGUAGGGGUGAAAUCUGUAGAGAUCUGGAAGAACAUCAGUGGCGAAGGCGAGCUUCUGGCUCUGAACUGACGCUGAGGCGCGAAAGCGUGGGGAGCGAACAGGAUUAGAUACCCUGGUAGUCCACGCUGUAAACGAUGUGCACUAGGUGUUGGGCCGUUGAAGGCUCAGUGCCGUAGCCAACGCGUUAAGUGCACCGCCUGGGGAGUAUGCU
rnacentral:rRNA from 1 species